rnacentral:rRNA from 1 species
UAACACGUAGGGAACCUACCCCGAACCGGGAAAUACCUCCGCGAAAGCGGAGCUAAUGUCCCAUGAGGUCCGCCAUGGAAGUGUGGCGGAUCAAAGCUCCGGCGGUACGGGAGGGACCUGCGUCCUAUCAGCUUGUUGGCGGGGUAACGGCCCACCAAGGCUCUGACGGGUAGCUGGUCUGAGAGGAUGGUCAGCCACACUGGGACUGCGACACGGCCCAGACUCCUACGGGAGGCAGCAGCAGGGAAUCGUUGGCAAUGGACGAAAGUCUGACCACGCGACGCCGCGUGAAGGAAGAAGGCCUUCGGGUUGUAAACUUCUUUUACCAGGGACGAUGAUGACGGUACCUGGGGAAUAAGCACCUGCUAACCACGUGCCAGCAGCCGCGGUAAGACGUGGGGUGCAAGCGUUGUCCGGAAUUAUUGGGCGUAAAGGGCGUGUAGGUGGUUUGGUAAGUCUCCUUUGAAAUCCCGUAGCUUAACUGCGGACUCGGAGGGGAAACUAUCAGACUCGAGGAAGACAGGGGCAGAUGGAAUUCCCGGUGAAGGGGUAAAAUCCGUUGAUAUCGGGAGGAACACCAGUGGCGAAGGCGAUCUGCUAGGUCUUUCCCGACACUGAGGCGCGAAAGUCUGGGGAGCGAAAGGGAUUAGAUACCCCUGUAGUCCAGACCCUAAACGAUGCACUCUAGGCAUUGGGAGUAUCGACCCUCCCUGUACCGUAGCUAACGCGUUAAGAGUGCCGCCUAGGAAGUACGGUCGCAAGACUA